rnacentral:rRNA from 1 species
UACGUAGGGUGCGAGCGUUGUCCGGAAUUAUUGGGCGUAAAGAGCUCGUAGGCGGUGUGUCGCGUCGGCCGUGAAAACCUGCAGCUUAACUGUGGGCUUGCGGUCGAUACGGGCAUCACUGGAGUUCGGCAGGGGAGACUGGAAUUCCUGGUGUAGCGGUGAAAUGCGCAGAUAUCAGGAGGAACACCGGUGGCGAAGGCGGGUCUCUGGG